GGCAAUGUUUGGGAAAAACUAAUUCUGCACAAUGUCACAAAAGGGAGCCAACUUUAGUAAACCAAGACCUACAAGACAGUCGUCUUUUACACAUAGAAUAGGGAAUAAGUCCUUAACAUCAGGAAGUGCAGUGUUGCAGAAAGGAAAAGGCAAAAC